GCGGGUGUGGCGAAAUUGGUAGACGCGCUAGACUUAGGAUCUAGUGCCGCAAGGCUUGGGGGUUCGAGUCCCUCCACCCGCAC
rnacentral:tRNA from 1 species